rnacentral:rRNA from 1 species
UACGGGAGGCAGCAGUGGGGAAUCUUCCGCAAUGGGCGCAAGCCUGACGGAGCAACGCCGCGUGAGUGAUGACGGCCUUCGGGUUGUAAAGCUCUGUUAAUCGGGACGAAAGGCCUUCUUGCGAAUAGUUAGAAGGAUUGACGGUACCGGAAUAGAAAGCCACGGCUAACUACGUGCCAGCAGCCGCGGUAAUACGUAGGUGGCAAGCGUUGUCCGGAAUUAUUGGGCGUAAAGCGCGCGCAGGCGGAUAGGUCAGUCUGUCUUAAAAGUUCGGGGCUUAACCCCGUGAUGGGAUGGAAACUGCCAAUCUAGAGUAUCGGAGAGGAAAGUGGAAUUCCUAGUGUAGCGGUGAAAUGCGUAGAUAUUAGGAAGAACACCAGUGGCGAAGGCGACUUUCUGGACGAAAACUGACGCUGAGGCGCGAAAGCCAGGGGAGCGAACGGGAUUAGAUACCCCGGUAGUCCUGGCCGUAAACGAUGGGUACUAGGUGUAGGAGGUAUCGACCCCUUCUGUGCCGGAGUUAACGCAAUAAGUACCCCGCCUGGGGAGUACGACCGCAAGGUUGAAACUCAAAGGAAUUGACGGGGGCCCGCACAAG